UCAUGCUGCAUUGCUUCAGCGGUUUCGGGCGCAUUAAAAACUUUCAUAAACUCACCAAGGUCAGAGGUCUCACACGGAAGCAGCCAUUUUAUAAUGAAAGCGUAAUAGCUCACUUUUCGAGGGAUGAAGCACUGACAAUGUAUCGGGGCUCAACUUAUUUACCGAAGCAACAGAAUACAGGUAGCGAAGCGUUUUGUAAACCAAUGAAGAUAUUUUGGAAAAAAUAUUGGAGGUUUCAAAAGUGAGUAUACUGACAUGAGUAACGAAAAAAUCAUGUGAAAAUCAUGAUCGCCGUAAGUUCAAGGGUUUCUGCGAUCUGGUCAUCAGCGCAGAGUGAAUCGGCUUCUAAAUUGAGUGUGAUCACAUUUCAAUGAUGAGCUUUCUUAAACUGACAAAUUGAGUUAAAAUUUUUAGAAUCUAUUGGAUAAUUCUGAUUUGUGACCAAUUUCAGGAAAAGGUUUAAGAGUGAAAUAAACCGUACCCAAAACCGACACUGGUGAACAAGUCGAAUAGACUCAGGCGUUGAGAUAACCAUGCUGAAGGAACUCGGCAAAAUAUUCCCGUACCUUAGGAAGAAGGGAAACCAAUUAGUUUGGUGACACAAAAAUGGGGGUGACGACUUUUUACUAAAAAAUUAGGACUCUGCAAAAUGGUAACAUGAAGUAUAGGGUCUGACGUCUGCCCGGUGCUAGAAGCUUAAGAGGAGACUUGCAAGAGUUGAAUUGAAGGCCUAGUAAACGGCGGUUGUAACUAUAACAAUCAUAAAGUAGCGAAAUUCCUUGCCAGCUAAUUCCUGGCCUGCAUGAAAGACGUAACGAUUGCCCUACUGUCUCCAGCAUGGACUCAGUGAAAUUGAAUUUUCCGUGAAGAUGCGGAAAUCGUGCCCCAAGACGAGAAGACCCUAUGCAUCUUUACUGUACAUUUACAUUGAACAAAGAAAUCAAGUAUGUAGAAUAGGUGGGAGUCCAUACACUCUUGAAAUACCACCUUCUGGAUUUCUUCAUUCUCAUUGAAGCAUUCAAGAACAUGUAAAUGAGGCAGUUUGACUGGGGCGGUCGCCUCCUAAAGAGUAACGGAGGCGUGCGAAGGUAAACUCAAUGAAAGUUGGAAACUUUCUGAAGAAUGCAAUGGUAAAAGUUUGCCUGACUGCGAGACUCAACAAGUCGAGCAGAGACGAAAGUCGGCCAUAGUGAUCCAAAAGUACCGAGUGGAAGGGCUUUGGCUUAACGAAUCAAAGAUACGCUAGGGAUAACAGGCUAAUAAUUCCCAAGAGUCCUUAUCGACGGAAUUGUUUGGCACCUCGAUGUUGACUGAUCAUAUCCUGGGGCUGAAGAAGGUCCCAAGGGUUCGGCUGUUCGCCGAUUAAAGUGGUACGUGAGCUGGGUUUAG
rnacentral:rRNA from 1 species